rnacentral:tRNA from 1 species
GGCCCGUUGGAGAAGCGGCUUAACUCAUAUGCCUUUCACGCAUACAUUCAUGGGUUCGAAUCCCGUACGGGUCACCA